CUUCAUACAUAUAAAUACCCUGAAAACACAGAUCCUUUCUGAUCUUGCAAGCUAAGCUGUGUAGUGCUUGCUUAGUACUUGGAAGGAAUGCCACCAAAGAAACAGCAGAUUCUGUGAACU
rnacentral:rRNA from 11 species